GGGCGGUUAGCUCAGUUGGUUAGAGUGUCACGUUGACAUCGUGAAGGUCACAAGUUCGAGUCUUGUACCGCCCA
rnacentral:tRNA from 1 species